CCUACGGGUGGCAGCAGUGGGGAAUAUUGGUCAAUGGGGGAAAGCCUGAUCCAGCCACGCCGCGUGAGCGAUGAAGUAUUUCGGUAUGUAAAGCUCUAUUAGCAGGGAAGAAAAUGACGGUACCUGACUAAGAAGCCACGGCUAACUACGUGCCAGAAGCCGUGGUAAUACGCAGGGGGCCAGCGUUAUCCGGAUUUGCUGGGUGUAAAGGGCGCGUAGGCGGUUCUGCAGGCCAGAUGUGAAAGCCUGGGGCCCAACCCCGGGACUGCAUUUGAAACUGGAAGGCUGGAGUGUCGGAGAGGUAGGCGGAAUGCGUAGUGUAGCGGUGAAAUGCGUAGAUAUUAGGCAGAACACCGGUUGCGAAGGCAGCCUGCUGGACGAUGACUGACGUUGAGGCUCGAAAGCGUGGGGAGCGAACAGGAUUAGAUACCCGAGUAGUC
rnacentral:rRNA from 1 species